rnacentral:lncRNA from 1 species
AUGAAUUCCAUUUUAUGAGACUUCUCUGUCACUAGUGAAGCCAUAGGCAAACUCUGACUAAUUUCAGUAGUGAAAGAUAAGGUCCUGAAAUAUUUUUUUUCAGGAGGUGUGGUUGGUACCUGAGGUGAUGGAUAACAAAUGCCUUCUUUUCCAGCUCAGCAGCUACCUCAGAAGAAAUGGGAAUUACCCAGGAGUGUAGCACUGACCACAAUUUGAAGUUACUUCAGAAGGCACCAGAUCCACGUCAGAAAAAAACAGCGAAGGCUCUUAAUUUCUGCAGAGCACUCAGUCUAGAGGAGUCAGCACACUCCCACUUUACUCCAGACCUCAAAUGCUGACAGGUACCACCAGGGCCUGGAAUAGCUGUAAGUGGAAAGUGAAUUCUCGGUAUUCAUAUGUAAAUCGAAAUAAC